rnacentral:tRNA from 1 species
ACCAGUGGACUAGUGGUUAGGCUUUGGCGCUCUCACAGCUAUGGCCCAGGUUCGAUUCCCGGCCAGGGA